CGCGCACAUCGGCAGGCGGGUUUUCGCAUAAAGACGUUUGGUUUAAAACAGCUCUUCGUAAAAGGAACCCGUCGGUGAACGAUUUCAAGCCGUAAAAAUUCGAAAUUAGUAUAAUCGCGAAAAAGAUGCAAGCUUGAAUAUAUUUCCAAGUUCCAAUGGUACUGGUAAGUUUUUUUUUACAUUUUACCCUUUUUUCCUCCAUGAAUACUCCUUCUCUUUGAUAUAUUACUUAAACGAUUGAAGAAGGUAAAUCGCAAGAACAAGUUCCGUGGUGAGGUUUAAGACAUGUAAACAUUGUAAUGCAUUCACCAAAGAAGAUGGAAAUAGGCUUAAAGUGACUGAUAAUUGGUUAUGGAAAUUUACCAAGAGUGAAUUUUUAAUUUUUAAAUAAAAGCUUUCGCAACAAAUUUAACUAGUAAGAUCAACUUGCUUUUACGAGAUGAUUCUUACGGCAACCUAACUCUGUCGAUUGAUGCUAUAUAUUUACUAGUUUUAUUUUUAAAAAUGUUAACUUUUCUCCUUUGUUGUAAUUGUAAUAACUUAAUAGAAAUAAACUGACAAAC